rnacentral:rRNA from 1 species
GGGUUGUGAGGUUAAGCGACUAAGCGUACACGGUGGAUGCCCUGGCAGUCAGAGGCGAUGAAGGACGUGCUAAUCUGCGAUAAGCGUCGGUGAGGUGAUAUGAACCGUUAUAACCGGCGAUUUCCGAAUGGGGAAACCCAGUGUGUUUCGACACACUAUCAUUAACUGAAUCCAUAGGUUAAUGAGGCGAACCGGGGGAACUGAAACAUCUAAGUACCCCGAGGAAAAGAAAUCAACCGAGAUUCCCCCAGUAGCGGCGAGCGAACGGGGAGGAGCCCAGAGCCUGAAUCAGUGUGUGUGUUAGUGGAAGCGUCUGGAAAGGCGCGCGAUACAGGGUGACAGCCCCGUACACAAAAAUGCACAUACUGUGAGCUCGAUGAGUAGGGCGGGACACGUGGUAUCCUGUCUGAAUAUGGGGGGACCAUCCUCCAAGGCUAAAUACUCCUGACUGACCGAUAGUGAACCAGUACCGUGAGGGAAAGGCGAAAAGAACCCCGGCGAGGGGAGUGAAAAAGAACCUGAAACCGUGUACGUACAAGCAGUGGGAGCCUCUUAAUGGGGUGACUGCGUACCUUUUGUAUAAUGGGUCAGCGACUUAUAUUCUGUAGCAAGGUUAACCGAAUAGGGGAGCCGAAGGGAAACCGAGUCUUAACUGGGCGUUAAGUUGCAGGGUAUAGACCCGAAACCCGGUGAUCUAGCCAUGGGCAGGUUGAAGGUUGGGUAACACUAACUGGAGGACCGAACCGACUAAUGUUGAAAAAUUAGCGGAUGACUUGUGGCUGGGGGUGAAAGGCCAAUCAAACCGGGAGAUAGCUGGUUCUCCCCGAAAGCUAUUUAGGUAGCGCCUCGUGAAUUCAUCUCCGGGGGUAGAGCACUGUUUCGGCAAGGGGGUCAUCCCGACUUACCAACCCGAUGCAAACUGCGAAUACCGGAGAAUGUUAUCACGGGAGACACACGGCGGGUGCUAACGUCCGUCGUGAAGAGGGAAACAACCCAGACCGCCAGCUAAGGUCCCAAAGUCAUGGUUAAGUGGGAAACGAUGUGGGAAGGCCCAGACAGCCAGGAUGUUGGCUUAGAAGCAGCCAUCAUUUAAAGAAAGCGUAAUAGCUCACUGGUCGAGUCGGCCUGCGCGGAAGAUGUAACGGGGCUAAACCAUGCACCGAAGCUGCGGCAGCGACACUAUGUGUUGUUGGGUAGGGGAGCGUUCUGUAAGCCUGUGAAGGUGUACUGUGAGGUAUGCUGGAGGUAUCAGAAGUGCGAAUGCUGACAUAAGUAACGAUAAAGCGGGUGAAAAGCCCGCUCGCCGGAAGACCAAGGGUUCCUGUCCAACGUUAAUCGGGGCAGGGUGAGUCGACCCCUAAGGCGAGGCCGAAAGGCGUAGUCGAUGGGAAACAGGUUAAUAUUCCUGUACUUGGUGUUACUGCGAAGGGGGGACGGAGAAGGCUAUGUUGGCCGGGCGACGGUUGUCCCGGUUUAAGCGUGUAGGCUGGUUUUCCAGGCAAAUCCGGAAAAUCAAGGCUGAGGCGUGAUGACGAGGCACUACGGUGCUGAAGCAACAAAUGCCCUGCUUCCAGGAAAAGCCUCUAAGCAUCAGGUAACAUCAAAUCGUACCCCAAACCGACACAGGUGGUCAGGUAGAGAAUACCAAGGCGCUUGAGAGAACUCGGGUGAAGGAACUAGGCAAAAUGGUGCCGUAACUUCGGGAGAAGGCACGCUGAUAUGUAGGUGAAGCGACUUGCUCGUGGAGCUGAAAUCAGUCGAAGAUACCAGCUGGCUGCAACUGUUUAUUAAAAACACAGCACUGUGCAAACACGAAAGUGGACGUAUACGGUGUGACGCCUGCCCGGUGCCGGAAGGUUAAUUGAUGGGGUUAGCGGUAACGCGAAGCUCUUGAUCGAAGCCCCGGUAAACGGCGGCCGUAACUAUAACGGUCCUAAGGUAGCGAAAUUCCUUGUCGGGUAAGUUCCGACCUGCACGAAUGGCGUAAUGAUGGCCAGGCUGUCUCCACCCGAGACUCAGUGAAAUUGAACUCGCUGUGAAGAUGCAGUGUACCCGCGGCAAGACGGAAAGACCCCGUGAACCUUUACUAUAGCUUGACACUGAACAUUGAGCCUUGAUGUGUAGGAUAGGUGGGAGGCUUUGAAGUGUGGACGCCAGUCUGCAUGGAGCCGGCCUUGAAAUACCACCCUUUAAUGUUUGAUGUUCUAACGUUGGCCCCUGAUCGGGGUUGCGGACAGUGUCUGGUGGGUAGUUUGACUGGGGCGGUCUCCUCCUAAAGAGUAACGGAGGAGCACGAAGGUUGGCUAAUCCUGGUCGGACAUCAGGAGGUUAGUGCAAUGGCAUAAGCCAGCUUGACUGCGAGCGUGACGGCGCGAGCAGGUGCGAAAGCAGGUCAUAGUGAUCCGGUGGUUCUGAAUGGAAGGGCCAUCGCUCAACGGAUAAAAGGUACUCCGGGGAUAACAGGCUGAUACCGCCCAAGAGUUCAUAUCGACGGCGGUGUUUGGCACCUCGAUGUCGGCUCAUCACAUCCUGGGGCUGAAGUAGGUCCCAAGGGUAUGGCUGUUCGCCAUUUAAAGUGGUACGCGAGCUGGGUUUAGAACGUCGUGAGACAGUUCGGUCCCUAUCUGCCGUGGGCGCUGGAGAACUGAGGGGGGCUGCUCCUAGUACGAGAGGACCGGAGUGGACGCAUCACUGGUGUUCGGGUUGUCAUGCCAAUGGCACUGCCCGGUAGCUAAAUGCGGAAGAGAUAAGUGCUGAAAGCAUCUAAGCACGAAACUUGCCCCGAGAUGAGUUCUCCCUGACUCCUUGAGAGUCCUGAAGGAACGUUGAAGACGACGACGUUGAUAGGCCGGGUGUGUAAGCGCAGCGAUGCGUUGAGCUAACCGGUACUAAUGAACCGUGAGGCUUAACCUUACAACGCCGAAG